rfam:Populus trichocarpa isolate Nisqually-1 chromosome 4, whole genome shotgun sequence.
CUUCUGCAGUGAUGAAGUCAUGGAGUAAGAUCCACAUGUCAGACUUCAGAGAUUUUUAAUCGAUGAGAAGAGACUUCCAUAACUUCUGAGCAGAAU